UACGUAGGGCGCAAGCGUUGUCCGGAAUUAUUGGGCGUAAAGAGCUCGUAGGUGGCUUGUCGCGUCUGCCGUGAAAGCCCAUGGCUUAACUGUGGGUCUGCGGUGGAUACGGGCUGGCUAGAGGUAGGUAGGGGCAAACGGAAUUCCUGGUGUAGCGGUGAAAUGCGCAGAUAUCAGGAGGAACACCAAUAGCGAAGGCAGCUCGCUGGGACGGUACUGACGCUAAGGCGCGAAAGCGUGGGGAGCGAACAGG
rnacentral:rRNA from 1 species